AUAUCUCUCUGUACGGGAAGGAUGAGAAGCUUCGACUAAGGUUCGAUUCGAGCGCAGCGAGAAAGCGUUGCCGCAGGCAA
rnacentral:sRNA from 2 species